GACGAACGCUGGCGGCGUGCUUAACACAUGCAAGUCGAACGGAAAGGCCCUGCUUUUGUGGGGUGCUCGAGUGGCGAACGGGUGAGUAACAAGUGAGUAACCUGCCCUUGACUUUGGGAUAACUUCAGGAAACUGGGGCUAAUACCGGAUAGGAGCUCCUGCUGCAUGGUGGGGGUUGGAAAGUUUCGGCGGUUGGGGAUGGACUCGCGGCUUAUCAGCUUGUUGGUGGGGUAGUGGCUUACCAAGGCUUUGACGGGUAGCCGGCCUGAGAGGGUGACCGGCCACAUUGGGACUGAGAUACGGCCCAGACUCCUACGGGAGGCAGCAGUGGGGAAUAUUGCACAAUGGGCGGAAGCCUGAUGCAGCAACGCCGCGUGCGGGAUGACGGCCUUCGGGCUGUAAACCGCUUUCGCCUGUGACGAAGCGUGAGUGACGGUAAUGGGUAAAGAAGCACCGGCUAACUACGUG
rnacentral:rRNA from 1 species